UUACUGACAAUAGCCUAAGCAUGAUCAAUGGCAACGUCUGACUGAUAGGCCUGCCUAUACAGAGAGAGAUGAAGAGACUGUCUGACUGACUUUUGUGCAAAAAAGUGAAAUAAUACUGUUCAUAAUAUUUUUCCCCUCAGGACCAGAUGGCUGUGUGACAUGUUUUCAGUUCUGUGCAAGGAACCACCAUCACACCAUGACGUCAAUGUCAACAGCAGAAGGAAAAUUACUCUGCAGGCCCUUCCCAUCUUCCCGUGGGAAGAUGGAUUUUUUAAGACCUGGAAUGCAGAAGAAAUUGACCUGCCAGACUUCUCGGAUGCAGCUGUAGCUAUUCUCACUGUCUCGGGUGAUACAGACUCCCUUGUGAAGUUUGGUCCUGCUAUCCAUUAUAUAGUUCUUGA